CGUAGGUGGCAAGCGUUGUCCGGAUUUAUUGGGUUUAAAGGGUGCGUAGGCGGUCUUAUAAGUCAGUGCUGAAAUAUCCCGGCUUAACCGGGAGGGUGGCAUUGAUACUGUAGGACUUGAGUAAAGUUGAGGUUGGCGGAAUUGACGGUGUAGCGGUGAAAUGCUUAGAUAUCGUCAAGAACACCGAUAGUGUAGACAGCUAACUAAGCUUUAACUGACGCUGAGGCACGAAAGUGUGGGGAUCAAACAGGAUUAGAUACCCUGGUAGUCCACACUGUAAACGUUGAAGACUCGCUGUUGGCGAUACACAGUCAGCGGCUGAGAGAAAUCGUUAAGUCUUCCACCUGGGGAGUACGCCGGCAACGGUG
rnacentral:rRNA from 1 species